UCAAAUCCAUACAAGAAAAGGCUUACAAAUUUUACCAUAUUCAUACUGAUACAUAAUAAUCGCAUAAUUAUUUUUCACCAUCGAUAAUAUUAGCUUUAAGUUAUUGUUUUUUUCUCAACGAACAAAAUCACCUUAAAAAGUCUCACGCAUUGCGACUAUCAAUUUUUUAGUUGUUAAUUAAUUUUUAUUCAUCAUUCGGGAUUUAUAUUUUACAUUCGUAUUUCUUUUGAAAUAUUGUCUAAAAAUCGCGUGUAAUAUUACGUGGCGUGAGUUGUUAUUAUACACGGUAAACGCGAUUAUGUCUGUUACGAGAAGUUCAAGGAUGCGUAUAUAAAUAUUAUAUGUACAUUAUAUAUACUAUAUUGUUAAACUAACACGAGGAGGUUAUUGCAUAACGAAUAUUCCGAUUUUUUCAAAUUUAUUCAAAUGCAGGAUCGUUAUUACCGAUACAAUUAUCUACGCCUCUCAUUAGCAUAAACAUUUGAGUGAGAAAAAACUGCGAUUUCGUCAAAAUCGGCGAAAGCUUAUCGCAGGAAAUAUAAUAUUUGCGUAUAUCGAUCCUGCAUUGUUUCUAUUUCAUCAAAGCCUUAAUAUUAUAUCGUAAUUCUUUCCACGUAGCUCAUAAAUUGGACUAUUAUUUUCUUUUUUUACUUUCAUAAUACCUUCCUCUUUACCGAGAUAUGAAAAAGUCCGAAUUUUUUUUUUUAGCAAUUCGGUAAUACGCGGUAUGCAGUAAUCUCGAUCUACGAACAAAAUUAUACGCACUAUGCACUGUAAAUAAUGUUCUUUUUUUCGUAAUAAAAUCAUAAAAGUUAUAGCCUCAACAGUUAUA